rnacentral:rRNA from 1 species
AGAGUUUGAUCCUGGCUCAGAACGAACGCUGGCGGCGUGCUUAACACAUGCAAGUCGUACGAGAAAUCCUGAGCAAUCGGGAGAGUAAAGUGGCGCACGGGUGAGUAACGCGUGGGUAACCUACCCUUGAGUUAGGGAUAACUCCGCGAAAGCGGGGCUAAUACCGGAUAAUAUUUCAGUUCCCUUGGGAGUUGAAAUCAAAGGUGGCCUCUGCAUGCAAGCUACUGCUUAAGGAUGGGCCCGCGUACCAUUAGCUAGUUGGUAGGGUAAUGGCCUACCAAGGCUACGAUGGUUAGCUGGUCUGAGAGGAUGGCCAGCCACACUGGAACUGAGACACGGUCCAGACUCCUACGGGAGGCAGCAGUGGGGAAUCUUGCGCAAUGGGGGAAACCCUGACGCAGCAACGCCGCGUGGGUGAUGAAGGCCUUCGGGUCGUAAAGCCCUGUCAGGUGGGAAGAAACUUGUGGAUGAUAAUACCAUCCACACUUGACGGUACCACCGAAGGAAGCACCGGCUAACUCCGUGCCAGCAGCCGCGGUAAUACGGAGGGUGCAAGCGUUGUUCGGAAUUACUGGGCGUAAAGCGCGUGUAGGUGGUCGGGUAAGUCAGAUGUGAAAGCCUUUCGCUUAACGAAAGAAGUGCAUUUGAGACUGCUCGGCUGGAGUACGGGAGAGGAGAGUGGAAUUCCCGGUGUAGAGGUGAAAUUCGUAGAUAUCGGGAGGAACACCAGUGGCGAAGGCGGCUCUCUGGUCCGAUACUGACACUGAGACGCGAAAGCGUGGGGAGCAAACAGGAUUAGA